rnacentral:rRNA from 1 species
GAUUAACGCUGGCGGCGUGCCUAAUACAUGCAAGUCGAGCGAACAGACGAGGAGCUUGCUCCUCUGACGUUAGCGGCGGACGGGUGAGUAACACGUGGAUAACCUACCUAUAAGACUGGGAUAACUUCGGGAAACCGGAGCUAAUACCGGAUAAUAUAUUGAACCGCAUGGUUCAAUAGUGAAAGACGGUUUUGCUGUCACUUAUAGAUGGAUCCGCGCCGCAUUAGCUAGUUGGUAAGGUAACGGCUUACCAAGGCAACGAUGCGUAGCCGACCUGAGAGGGUGAUCGGCCACACUGGAACUUAGACACGGUCCAGACUCCUACGGGAGGCAGCAGUAGGGAAUCUUCCGCAAAGGGCGAAAGCCUGACGGAGCAACGCCGCGUGAGUGAUGAAGGUCUUCGGAUCGUAAAACUCUGUUAUUAGGGAAGAACAAAUGUGUAAGUAACUAUGCACGUCUUGACGGUACCUAAUCAGAAAGCCACGGCUAACUACGUG